rnacentral:rRNA from 1 species
UACGUAGGGGGCAAGCGUUGUCCGGAUUUAUUGGGCGUAAAGAGCGUGUAGGCGGCCAGACAGGUCCGUUGUGAAAACUCGAGGCUCAACCUCGAGACGCCGAUGGAAACCGUCUGGCUAGAGUCCGGAAGAGGAGGGUGGAAUUCCUGGUGUAGCGGUGAAAUGCGCAGAUAUCAGGAAGAACACCCGUGGCUAAGGCGGCUCUCUAGGACGGUACUGACGCUGAGACGCGAAAGCGUGGGGAGCGAACAGG